CACACACAUAGGCUAUAUGGUAUUGUAUAGCCUAUAGACUGCUUCCAGGCCGCAAACCUGUAUAGCAUGUUACUGCAUUGAAUACUGUAAGCAACUGUAACACAAUGGCAAAGCUAAUCUGUAGUGCCAAACAAUAGAUCAGUGGUUGCCUGAGGCCAAGAUGUGGAAGAUGGGAUUGACUGCAAAACUACAGAAGGAAUAUUUGGGGAGGCACGGAAGCGCAUCCGUGGAAAUCCAUCCCUUCCGACUUCCUUACACCUAUACAAAAGCCUGCAUUUGAUGCCCAGGACUCCAGAUCAGUACAUUCUGUGACAACUAAGGCACAGUGGAACAAGAAGGGCCCAACCACAUAAAGCUCCAGGAGAGUAGGAAUUAGUCUUGCUCUCAAGGACAUUCCUGGCACCCAGCAGAAUACCUAGCCUAGUAGGCAACAAAUGAAUACUGGAUGAAUAAAUCUAUGAAUCCAUCAAGAAGCAAGCUUGAGAAUGAGGCCAAAACACAGAGGAAGGCAAAAGAGCAAUGAAGCUGAGCAAAUACACCAGACUACCCAACUCUGAAACCCAUCCAACCUCUGGACUUCAUUGUUGUGAGUCAAUACAUUUACCUAACAUUUAAACCACUCAGAGUCAAAAUUUCUGUUAC
rnacentral:lncRNA from 1 species